rnacentral:rRNA from 1 species
ACGGGAGGCAGCAGUGGGGAAUAUUGGGCAAUGGGGGAAACCCUGACCCAGCAACGCCGCGUGAAGGAAGAAGGCUUUCGGGUUGUAAACUUCUUUUAAGAGGGACGAACACAAUGACGGUACCUCUUGAAUAAGCCACGGCUAACUACGUGCCAGCAGCCGCGGUAAUACGUAGGUGGCGAGCGUUAUCCGGAUUUACUGGGUGUAAAGGGCGCGUAGGCGGAGCGGCAAGUCAGAUGUGAAAUCCAUGGGCUUAACCCAUGAACUGCAUUUGAAACUGUCGCCCUUGAGUGUCGGAGAGGUAGACGGAAUUCCUAGUGUAGCGGUGAAAUGCGUAGAUAUUAGGAGGAACACCAGUGGCGAAGGCGGCUUGCUGGACCGUAACUGACGCUGAGGCUCGAAAGCGUGGGGAGCAAACAGGAUUAGAUACCCUGGUA